rnacentral:rRNA from 1 species
GAGUUUGAUCAUGGCUCAGAUUGAACGCUGGCGGCAGGCCUAACACAUGCAAGUCGAGCGGAUGACGGGAGCUUGCUCCUUGAUUCAGCGGCGGACGGGUGAGUAAUGCCUAGGAAUCUGCCUGGUAGUGGGGGACAACGUUUCGAAAGGAACGCUAAUACCGCAUACGUCCUACGGGAGAAAGCAGGGGACCUUCGGGCCUUGCGCUAUCAGAUGAGCCUAGGUCGGAUUAGCUAGUUGGUGGGGUAAUGGCUCACCAAGGCGACGAUCCGUAACUGGUCUGAGAGGAUGAUCAGUCACACUGGAACUGAGACACGGUCCAGACUCCUACGGGAGGCAGCAGUGGGGAAUAUUGGACAAUGGGCGAAAGCCUGAUCCAGCCAUGCCGCGUGUGUGAAGAAGGUCUUCGGAUUGUAAAGCACUUUAAGUUGGGAGGAAGGGCAGUAAGUUAAUACCUUGCUGUUUGACGUUACCGACAGAAUAAGCACCGGCUAACUCUGUGCCAGCACG